rnacentral:rRNA from 1 species
UGGGGAAUAUUGCACAAUGGGCGCAAGCCUGAUGCAGCCAUGCCGCGUGUAUGAAGAAGGCCUUCGGGUUGUAAAGUACUUUCAGCGGGGAGGAAGGGAGUAAAGUUAAUACCUUUGCUCAUUGACGUUACCCGCAGAAGAAGCACCGGCUAACUCCGUGCCAGCAGCCGCGGUAAUACGGAGGGUGCAAGCGUUAAUCGGAAUUACUGGGCGUAAAGCGCACGCAGGCGGUUUGUUAAGUCAGAUGUGAAAUCCUCGGGCUCAACCUGGGAACUGCAUCUGAUACUGGCAAGCUUGAGUCUCGUAGAGGGGGGUAGAAUUCCAGGUGUAGCGGUGAAAUGCGUAGAGAUGUGGAGGAAUACCGGUGGCGAAGGCGGCCCCCUGGACAAAGACUGACGCUCAGGUGCGAAAGCGUGGGGAGCAAACAGGA